ACGGACAAUUAUUUAUAGCCUCUGGCUAUAGGAAAUUGUUAGUGGCAGACGGGUGAGUAAUGCGUAGGAAUCUACCUAGUAGUACGGAAUAGCCAUUAGAAAUGGUGGGUAAUACUGUAUAAUCCCCGAGGGGGAAAGAUUUAUCGCUAUUAGAUGAGCCUACGUUAGAUUAGCUAGUUGGUGAGGUAAUGGCUUACCAAGGCUAUGAUCUAUAGCUGGUCUGAGAGGACGAUCAGCCACACUGGAACUGAGAUACGGUCCAGACUCCUACGGGAGGCAGCAGUGGGGAAUAUUGGACAAUGGGCGAAAGCCUGAUCCAGCUAUGCCGCGUGAGUGAAGAAGGCCUUCGGGUUGUAAAACUCUUUCAAUAGGGAAGAUAAUGACGGUACCUAUAGAAGAAGUCCCGGCAAACUCUGUGCCAGCCGCCGCGGGUAAUACA
rnacentral:rRNA from 1 species